rnacentral:rRNA from 1 species
CGCUUAUUAAUAAUUUUAAGUCGAUCUGCCCAAUGAUUAAUGGCUGCAGUAUAUUGACUGUACAAAGGUAGCAUAAUCAAUUGUUUUUUAAUUGAAAACUGGAAUGAAAGAAUUAAUGAGAUAUAUUCUGUCUCAUAUAUAUUUAAUGAAUUUAAAUAUUUAGUAAAAAUGCUUAAAUAAAUUUAUGGGACGAUAAGACCCUAUAGAAUUUUAUAUUUGGGAGGAUUAGUAAAUUUGAAGAACUUUAUUAAUUAAACUUUGAUUUAAGGAUGAUCUUGUAUUAUGAAUUAAAAGAAUAAAUUACCUUAGGGAUAACAGCGUAAUAUCUUUUAAAAGGUCAUAUUAAUAAAGAUGAUUACGACCUCGAUGUUGAAUUAAGAUAAAUUGUAAACGGAGAAGUUUAAAAAUUAAGUCUGUUCGACUUUUAAAAUCUUACAUGAUUUGAGUUCAAAUCGACGUGAGU